rnacentral:rRNA from 1 species
GGCAGCAGUGGGGAAUAUUGGACAAUGGGCGCAAGCCUGAUCCAGUCAUGCCGCGUGAGUGAUGAAGGCCCUAGGGUUGUAAAGCUCUUUCGCCAGGGACGAUAAUGACGGUACCUGGAUAAGAAGCCCCGGCUAACUUCGUGCCAGCAGCCGCGGUAAUACUCCUACGGGAGG